rnacentral:rRNA from 1 species
AUUUUANGNANCCGCGAAUGGCUCAUUAUAUAANUUAUUUUAUUUGAUAUUACCUUACUACAUGGAUAACCGUGGUAAUUCUAGAGCUAAUACAUGCUGAAAAUCCCCACUUCGGAAGGGAUGUAUUUAUUANAUUCAAAACCAAGGCCCUUCCGGGCUCCCANGGUGAUUCAUGAUAACUUCUCGAAACCCAAGCCCCCACCCCCGCGAUGGUUACUUCAAAUUUCUUCCCAAGCCUUUUCCCAUUCCACUGUAAGGUCCUACCCCGACCACAACUGGGACCGGGANAUNUANNA